rnacentral:rRNA from 1 species
UUCGGUGGCCAUAGAGGGGAGGACACACCCGGUCCCAUGCCGAACCCGGCAGUUAAGCUCCCCAUCGCCGAUGGUACUGCAGAGGGUAUCUGUGGGAGAGUAGGUCGCCGCCGAGC